UAGAUGAAUGCUCUCUGGUUUGAGCGCUUAGCUGUUAACUAAGAGGUUGCGGGAUCGAGGCCCGCUCAUCUAU
rnacentral:tRNA from 1 species